rnacentral:rRNA from 1 species
UGAAGGGCCGCGGUAUUUUGACCGUGCAAAGGUAGCAUAAUCAUUAGUUCUUUAAUUGUGAUCUGGAAUGAAUGGCUUGACGAGACACGAGCUGUCUUAGGUUGUGAAUAUUUUAUUGAAUUUGGUUUUUGAGUUAAAAUUCUUAGAUGUUUUUAUGGGACGAGAAGACCCUAUAGAGUUUAACAUUUGGUCUACUUUUCUUAUUGUUCGUUUGUGUUUAAUUGAGUGGGCUUAAUAUGUUUUGUUGGGGCGAUGAGAGGGAUAUAGUUUAACCCCUCUUUAUUUUGGUUAUAUUAAUUUAUAGUUGCUUGACCCAUUGAUUUUGAUUAUAAGAUUAAAUUACCU